GAUUACAGGUGUGAGCCACCAUGCCCAGUGGUGAAAAAGAAGGAAUGGAAAUAAUAAAAGAAGGAACCUUGGAACAUGAGGAAGGAUGAAUGAACAUUCAAGCAAAAAUAUGGCAUACUAGGUUGGAGGUGGUCUGCUACAGUCAGUCUGAAAAUGAGUUGGUCUCUACAAUCUCAGGAGACAAGCCCAAAUCCUUCCGAGAACAUCUCUCAUUUGUGAUGCCAACAAGAGCUUACAACCACAACUGCUCAGAAUGGAGAAGCCAGAAGGAUAGAGGCUGCUCCACCUCUGAAUGCCCACAUCACCUCUGUCUGGAAGAACCAGGUGUUCUAAGCUUAGAGAUGAGGGAAAGGAGACUUACUGGGCUAAAAAACAGGACCAGAAUAAACUUGACACAAGUCAGUCACAGA